rnacentral:rRNA from 1 species
UACGUAGGUGGCAAGCGUUGUCCGGAUUUAUUGGGUUUAAAGGGUGUGUAGGCGGGCUUUUAAGUCUGGGGUGAAAUCCCGAAGCUCAACUUCGGAACUGCCUUGGAUACUAUUAGUCUUGAAUUAUGUUGAGGUUGGCGGAAUAUAACAUGUAGCGGUGAAAUGCAUAGAUAUGUUAUAGAACACCGAUUGCGAAGGCAGCUAACUAAACAUAUAUUGACGCUGAGGCACGAAAGCGUGGGGGAUCAAACAGG